UACAGAGGUCUCAAGCGUUGUUCGGAUUCAUUGGGCGUAAAGGGUGCGUAGGCGGCGCGGUAAGUCGGGUGUGAAAUCUCGGGGCUUAACUCCGAAACUGCAUUCGAUACUGCCGUGCUUGAGGACUGGAGAGGAGACUGGAAUUUACGGUGUAGCGGUGAAAUGCGUAGAUAUCGUAAGGAAGACCAGUGGCGAAGGCGGCGACCUGGGUAGAUACUGACGCUGAGGUGCGAAAGCGUGGGGAGCAAACAGG
rnacentral:rRNA from 1 species